rnacentral:rRNA from 1 species
CCUACGGGUGGCAGCAGUAGGGAAUCUUCCACAAUGGGCGAAAGCCUGAUGGAGCAACGCCGCGUGGGUGAAGAAGGUCUUCGGAUCGUAAAACCUUGUUGUUAGAGAAGAAAGUGCGUGUGAGUAACUGUUCACGUUUCGACGGUAUCUAACAAAAAAGCCAAGGCGAACUACUUGCCAGCAGCCGCGGUAAUACGUAGGUGGCAAGCUUUCUCCGGUUUUAUUUGGCGUAAAGGGAACGCAGGCGGGCUUUUAAGUCUGAUGUGAAAGCCUUCGGCUUAACCGGAGUAGUGCAUUGGAAACUGGGAGUCUUGAGUGCAGAAGAGGAGAGUGGAACUACAUGUGUAGCGGUGAAAUGCGUAGAUAUAUGGAAGAACACCAGUGGCGAAAGCGGCUCUCUGGUCUGUAACUGACGCUGAGGUUCGAAAGCGUGGGUAGCAAACAGGAUUAGAUACCCGAGUAGUC